CAUUACAAAGUGCAUCAAACACACCUCAAGGACAAGGACACCAACAUCAGAGUCGACCAUCAGGUUUGUCUAUAAAAGAGGGUGACCUCUUCAAAUAUUCUUCUCAACUCAUUUGUUUAUGCUCUUCUUAUACCUUGCCUCAUAAAAAUAGUAUUCAACCCCCUCUCCUAUCAAGCAAUUUUUAUUUUUAUAAGAAGAAAAAAUAAUCAUGGUUUUAAAACUUAUUGGUUUCUCAAAACAUGUCAUAUCUUUAUUUAUUAAAAUCAUUAUACUACUAAUCUUUAGCUUUAUUCUAAACAGAGCUGACUCAGGCUGUAACAAUUCUGUUACAACUUCU
rnacentral:lncRNA from 1 species